rnacentral:rRNA from 1 species
UACGUAGGGGGCAAGCGUUGUCCGGAUUUAUUGGGCGUAAAGAGCGUGUAGGCGGCCAGGGAGGUCCGUUGUGAAAACUCGAGGCUCAACCUCGAGACGCCGAUGGAAACCCCCUGGCUAGAGUCCGGAAGAGGAGAGUGGAAUUCCUGGUGUAGCGGUGAAAUGCGCAGAUAUCAGGAAGAACACCUAUGGCGAAGGCAGCUCUCUGGGACGGUACUGACGCUGAGACGCGAAAGCGUGGGGAGCGAACAGG